AUAUUGGACAAUGGGCGCAAGCCUGAUCCAGCCAUGCCGCGUGAGUGAGGAAGGUUUUCGGAUCGUAAAACUCUGUUGCCAGGGAAGAACGCCAGGGAGAGGCAAUGCUCUCUGGGUGACGGUACCUGAGAAGAAAGCCCCGGCUAACUACGUGCCAGCAGCCGCGGUAAUACGUAGGGGGCAAGCGUUGUCCGGAAUUAUUGGGCGUAAAGCGCGCACAGGCGGCGACUUAAGUCUGGUGUUUAAGCCCGGGGCUCAACCCCGGUACGCACUGGAAACUGGGUGGCUGGAGUGCAGGAGAGGGGAGUGGAAUUCCACGUGUAGCGGUGAAAUGCGUAGAGAUGUGGAGGAACACCAGUGGCGAAGGCGACUCUCUGGCCUGUAACUGACGCUGAGGCGCGAAAGCGUGGGGAGCAAACAGG
rnacentral:rRNA from 1 species